rnacentral:lncRNA from 1 species
AUACUACCCAGCUGUUACUCUUGCUUCCGCUUUGGUAGCAGCAACAGUUGGAUUUGAAUUUGCCUAGUUACCAUUGCGGUUUGAGUGUAAACACAACAGAGCAGCGCGGUACCGCGACCCCUCCCCACUUCCUCCUCGCUCAAGCACGGCGCGCCCACUGAGCCCCGCCCAGGGCCCGCCCCCAUCCCCUAUUGGUUCAGGAGGCGGUGCCGGGCGCGCGCGCUCGGAUGCCCGGAUGGCCCUUGGCUUCCGGUGCUCUGCCCGCGGACCAUAGAGGGCGCUCGUCACGGAACUCUGCUUUGUUAACGGGGCCUCCGAAGCCGGGGUAGCCUAGGAGCGGCCGCGUUCUACGUCAGGAGCCGCUGUCGCUUCGCUCGACCUCCCGAGCGAAAUGGUCUCUCAAGUCCCGGCCACCGGGCCUCCGCGCUCCCCAUGAAGGGUCGGAGGCCGCGCGGGGAGUAGCAGCGGUCUGCAGGCGAGCGGAGACGGACACACCGGGGACCUCUCCGACCACCGUGCUUCUGCUGCGCGCCUCCAGGCCAAUGUGCAAUACCAACAUGUCUGUGUCUACCGAGGGUGCUGCAGGCACCUCACAGAUUCCAGCGUCGGAACAAGAGACUCUGGUUAGACCAAAACCAUUGCUUUUGAAGUUGUUAAAGUCUGUUGGAGCACAAAAAGAUAUUUACACUAUGAAAGAGAUUAUAUUUUAUAUUGGACAGUAUAUUAUGACUAAAAGAUUAUAUGAUGAGAAGCAGCAGCACAUUGUGUAUUGCUCAAAUGAUCUCCUAGGAGAUGUGUUCGGAGUCCCAAGUUUCUCUGUGAAGGAGCACAGGAAAAUAUAUGCAAUGAUCUACAGAAACUUAGUGGUUGUAAGUCAACAAGACUCUGGAACAUCGCCGAGUGAGAGCAGAUGUCAGCCUGAAGGUGGGAGUGACCUGAAGGACCCCGUGCAAGCAUCACAAGAAGAGAAACCUUCAUCUUCUGAUGUAGUUUCUAGACCAUCUACCUCAUCUAGAAGGAGAGCAAUUAGUGAAACAGAAGAGAACACAGAUGAACUACCUGGGGAACGACAGAGGAAGCGCCACAGAGCCCUGUCCUUUGAUGAGAGCCUGGGUCUGUGUGUGCUCAGGGAGAUAUGCUGUGAAAGAAGCAGCAGCAGCGAGGCCACAGACACCCC